GGAUCUUUAGCUCAGUUGGCUAGAGCGCGCGAUUCACAUUCGCGAGGUCAUUGGUUCGAGUCCAAUAAGAUCCACCA
rnacentral:tRNA from 1 species